GAUGAACGCUGGCGGCGUGCUUAACACAUGCAAGUCGAACGGGAAACCUUUUAUUGAAGCUUCGGCAGAUUUAGCUGGUUUCUAGUGGCGGACGGGUGAGUAACGCGUGGGUAACCUGCCUUAUACAGGGGGAUAACAGUCAGAAAUGGCUGCUAAUACCGCAUAAGCGCACAGAGCUGCAUGGCUCAGUGUGAAAAACUCCGGUGGUAUAAGAUGGACCCGCGUUGGAUUAGCUGGUUGGUGGGGUAACGGCCCACCAAGGCGACGAUCCAUAGCCGGCCUGAGAGGGUGAACGGCCACAUUGGGACUGAGACACGGCCCAGACUCCUACGGGAGGCAGCAGCGGGGAAUAUUGCACAAUGGGGGAAACCCUGAUGCAGCGACGCCGCGUGAAGGAAGAAGUAUCUCGGUAUGUAAACUUCUAUCAGCAGGGAAGAUAAUGACGGUACCUGACUAAGAAGCCCCGGCUAACUACGUG
rnacentral:rRNA from 1 species